rnacentral:tRNA from 1 species
GGUGAUGUGGCGGAAUCGGUAGACGCUGUAGAUUUAAAAUCUGUUGAUUUUUUUGAAUCGUGAGGGUUCAAGUCCCUCCAUCACCA